GGGCCAGUGGCACAAUGGAUAAUGCAUCUGACCUUGAAUCAAAAGAUUGUAGGUUCGACUCCUUCCUGGCUCG
rnacentral:tRNA from 1 species